rnacentral:lncRNA from 1 species
GGCUCAUCUCCUUAAUCGAAGCACUAAUUCUAGACAUUCAUUUGAACUCGAUAGCCUAUGGCGCAUUUAAUGCUCUUGCAGGGAUAAGCCACCUUCAACUUAAAUUGAAAAAACUUGACAUUCCACUCAUUAGAAAUGUUCCAUCAAUCUUUCGAAAGAGAUCUCAUUCAUAAAUUCAAGAUCUUCACGUGUAGGUUGUCACUUACUGUGGUUGAGUUUCAAUUUUAACUUUUGUUGAGCUCCAUCACUUCACUAGGUAGAUGCGCUUGAGCCUCGAAUGUAGCAUAUAGCUUCGGGGCUUUGCUUUAGCAUGGGACUGCUUCGACGCUUCAGAUCUACAGACUCCAAACUCCAAUGUUCAACGUGGCUUCAUCGCAAGAGGUUCAGUGGAUCGUUCACGUGGAGCCUUAGUAGUGAGGCGUAACACAUAUAGUCAAAUAACAAGUAGAUCCCUUUGAUUGCCACUUGUUCAAAGAAUGUGUAUAAUUUAGAUUGAAAAUG